rnacentral:rRNA from 1 species
AGAGUUUGAUCCUGGCUCAGAUUGAACGCUGGCGGCAGGCCUAACACAUGCAAGUCGAGCGGAUGACAGGAGCUUGCUCCUGGAUUCAGCGGCGGACGGGUGAGUAAUGCCUAGGAAUCUGCCUGGUAGUGGGGGACAACGUUUCGAAAGGAACGCUAAUACCGCAUACGUCCUACGGGAGAAAGCAGGGGACCUUCGGGCCUUGCGCUAUCAGAUGAGCCUAGGUCGGAUUAGCUUGUUGGUGAGGUAAUGGCUCACCAAGGCGACGAUCCGUAACUGGUCUGAGAGGAUGAUCAGUCACACUGGAACUGAGACACGGUCCAGACUCCUACGGGAGGCAGC